rnacentral:tRNA from 1 species
CAGGGAGACAACAAAAUGUUUAAUAUUAUUAUUUUGUCACCUUAGGUCGAUCGGUAUCUCACAUUCUUAAUUUAUUAAGGAUUUCAUUUCCUAAGUUUUUCUAGGUCACACCCAUUAUUUUUCCUGGGCCAUUAGCUCAGGUGGUUAGAGCGCACCCCUGAUAAGGGUGAGGUCCCUGGUUCAAGUCCAGGAUGGCCCAUUCGGUGUUGGGGGUAUAGCUCAGUUGGUAGAGCGCCUGCUUUGCAAGCAGGAUGUCAGCGGUUCGAGUCCGCUUACCUCCACUGAUCUACUUCCUGCAGCAACCAAAUGGAGUGCACUUGCUUAGAUGUGAUUUAGAACUUUUUCUGAAGGAACCUAGCCUCCUGUCAUCCUAUCUAAAUUAAAUACACUAUUUCGAUAUGGUUGAUAGAAUGCUGGGCUCAAUGUAGUUCUUAGGGAUUGCAUUAAGUUCAGAAGAACCUUGACAACUGCAUAGGUGAGUUUGGAAAGAAUUAAAGCAUCUCAUGGAUGCAUUAUUCUUAUUAAGUAUUAAAUAGAUAGUACUUUAAAGUAUUUAUCUAUAUUUUACUUUGAAGAUAAUGCUCAAUUCUUGAGUUUAAGAGCCGAGACUCUAU